UACGUAGGGUGCAAGCGUUGUCCGGAAUUAUUUGGGCGUAAAGAGCUUGUAGGCGGUUUUGUCGCGUCUGCUGUGAAAUUUCGGGGCUCAACCCCGAACUUGCAGUGGGUACGGGCAGACUAGAGUGUGGUAGGGGGAGACUGGAAUUCCUGGUGUAGCGGUGAAAAUGCGCAGAUAUCAGGAGGAACACCGGUGGCGAAGGCGGGUCUCUGGGCCGACAUUGACGCUGAGGAGCGAAAGCGUGGGGAGCGAACAGG
rnacentral:rRNA from 1 species